rnacentral:rRNA from 1 species
UGUACCUACGGGGGGCAGCAGUAGGGAAUCUUCCACAAUGGGCGAAAGCCUGAUGGAGCAACACCGCGUGGGUGAAGAAGGUCUUCGGAUCGUAAAACCCUGUUGUUAGAGAAGAAAGUGCGUGAGAGUAACUGUUCACGUUUCGACGGUAUCUAACCAGAAAGCCACGGCUAACUACGUGCCAGCAGCCGCGGUAAUACGUAGGUGGCAAGCGUUAUCCGGAUUUAUUGGGCGUAAAGGGAACGCAGGCGGUGUUUUAAGUCUGAUGUGAAAGCCUUAGGGUUAACAGGAGU